rnacentral:rRNA from 1 species
UACGGAGGGUGCGAGCGUUAAUCGGAAUUACUGGGCGUAAAGCGCACGUAGGCUGUUUUGUAAGUCAGGGGUGAAAGCCCACGGCUCAACCGUGGAAUUGCCCUUGAUACUGCGGGACUUGAAUUCGGGAGAGGAUGGCGGAAUUCCAGGUGUAGGAGUGAAAUCCGUAGAUAUCUGGAGGAACAUCAGUGGCGAAGGCGGCCAUCUGGAUCGAUAUUGACGCUGAGGUGCGAAAGCGUGGGGAGCAAAC